CGGGGGCUAAAGGCACAGUUAGGGACUCUCCCAGGCUCUUUGGAAUGUGUAGCUGUCCCUCCUAGGGUGAAGUUGGAGAAAGGAGGAUCACCCAAAGCCAAUGAUCUUCCUUUUGGCAUACCGUCAGAAGGUCAGGAGUAGCUUAACAGUAUGAUCCAGUGCCUGCAUCAUUCACCUCACUUCAGCUCAUCAGACGAUUUGCCUAGCGAAGAUACCUGGAUGCCACAGUGCCUCAUCUCUUAACACUUGGCUGUAUCAGCUUGAGCCUGCCGUAAGGUAAGAUGGUCUACAAGGACCACAUUGUGACUCCUUAAAGGGAGCAGCUGCCGUUCUGGCUUGCAGGUGCAACUCAACAUGACCCUGAAGUUUUUGGCACUGCUUACUGCUGAGAGACUCCCAUGAAGCAUCCUACUAUGGAAUGUGGCUUUCCUAGUGGCUUCCUGGAGGGAGCAGUCUGAAGACAUGGUUCUAAAAUGCAUCAAUUCUACUUGUUGGUGUAUUACCCCACUGGCAUAAGCUUGGAAGAGAACGCUCGGUUCCAGAUGAGAACACAGAUGAUCGACACCCCGAUUUUAGCCUUAUGAGACCCUGAGCAGAGAACCCAGCCAUAUCUUCCUGGAUGUUUGAUUCGCAGAACUAAGGUCCUGAGAAAGAUGUAUAUAUAAUUUAUCUAUCAAUGCUGUGGUGGAUGCUCUAAAAAACAUAGUCUGAGAAAAGUACUAAAAGGAAAAAGGGAAAAGAAAAGAAAACCAAGGUAAGAAAUACAAUCUAAAGCUAAUUAAUGUGUUACCAAGAUAGGUGUUGCUUCAAGCCUUAAAGAGAAACAGCUGGUGGCUCAACAGAUAUAUCUGCUCAGCACACAGGAUUCCUCUGGA